rnacentral:rRNA from 1 species
CGUAGGGUGCAAGCGUUGUCCGGAUUUAUUGGGUUUAAAGGGUGCGUAGGCGGCCCUGUAAGUCAGUGGUGAAAUACUCCAGCUUAACUGGAGGGGUGCCAUUGAUACUGCAGGGCUUGAGUUAAGUUGAAGUUGGCGGAAUUGACGGUGUAGCGGUGAAAUGCUUAGAUAUCGUCAAGAACACCGAUAGUGAAGACAGCUAACUAAACUUUUACUGACGCUGAGGCGCGAAAGUGUGGGGAUCAAACAGGAUUAGAUACCCUGGUAGUCCACACUGUAAACGUUGAUUACUCGCUGUGUGCGAUAUACAGUACGCGGCCAAGCGAAAGCGAUAAGUAAUCCACCUGGGGAGUACGCCGGCAACGGUG